rnacentral:rRNA from 1 species
UACCAGCACCCCGAGUGGUCGGGACGUUUAUUGGGCCUAAAGCAUCCGUAGCCGGUUCUACAAGUCUUCCGUUAAAUCCAACUGCUUAACAGGUGGGCUGCGGAAGAUACUAUAGAGCUAGGAGGCGGGAGAGGCAAGCGGUACUCGAUGGGUAGGGGUAAAAUCCGUUGAUCCAUUGAAGACCACCAGUGGCGAAGGCGGCUUGCCAGAACGCGCUCGACGGUGAGGGAUGAAAGCUGGGGGAGCAAACUGG